rnacentral:rRNA from 1 species
UGCUACAAUGGCCGGUACAGAGAGAAGCAAGCCUGUGAAGGGGAGCGAAACUCAAAAACCGGUCCCAGUUCGGAUUGUAGGCUGCAACUCGCCUACAUGAAGUCGGAGUUGCUAGUAAUCGCGGAUCAGAAUGCCGCGGUGAAUGCGUUCCCGGGUCUUGUACACACCGCCCGUCACACCAUGGAAGUUGGGGGCGCCCGAAGUUGGUCGAGGAAUAGAUUACCUAAGGCGAAACCAAUGACUGGGGUGAAGUCGUAACAAGGUACC